rnacentral:sRNA from 1 species
UAUAUUGCUUGCUUGAUUUACAGAUAAAU